CAGGACGAACGCUGGCGGCGUGCUUAAGACAUGCAAGUCGAGCGGUCCCGCAAGGGACAGCGGCGGACGGGUGAGUAACACGUGGAUAACCUGCCUUCUUCGCUGGGAUAACAGGCCGAAAGGCCUGCUAAUACCGGAUAAGCUCACGGGGUCGCAUGGCUCUGGGAGAAAAGGCGCUGCAAGGCGCUGGAGGAAGAGGGGUCCGCGGCCCAUUAGCUAGUUGGAGGGGUAACGGCCCACCAAGGCAACGAUGGGUAGCCGGCCUGAGAGGGCGAACGGCCACACUGGGACUGAGACACGGCCCAGACUCCUACGGGAGGCAGCAGUCGGGAAUUUUGCACAAUGGCCGAAAGGCUGAUGCAGCAACGCCGCGUGAGUGAAGAAGGCCUUCGGGUUGUAAAGCUCUGUUGCCCGUGAAGAACGGCGCCAUCAGGAAAUGGGUGGCGUUUGACGGUAGCGGGAGAGGAAGCCCCGGCUAACUACGUGCCAGCAGCCGCGGUAAUACGUAGGGGGCGAGCGUUGUCCGGAUUUAUUGGGCGUAAAGGGCGUGUAGGCGGUCCUUUAAGUCAGGGGUGAAACCCCGGGGCUCAACCCCGGGCCUGCCUCUGAAACUGAGGGACUUGAGUGCUCUAGAGGGCAGUGGAAUUCCCGGUGUAGCAGUGAAAUGCGUAGAGAUCGGGAGGAACACCAGUGGCGAAGGCGACUGCCUGGGGGGCAACUGACGCUGAGGCGCGAAAGCUGGGGGAGCAAACGGGAUUAGAUACCCCGGUAGUCCCAGCCGUAAACGAUGAGUGCUAGGUGUGAGGGGUAUCGACCCCCCUCGUGCCGGAGUUAACGCAAUAAGCACUCCGCCUGGGGAGUACGGCCGCAAGGUUGAA
rnacentral:rRNA from 1 species